UACGGAGGGUGCAAGCGUUAUCCGGAUUUACUGGGCUUAAAGGGUGUGUAGGCGGGCUGUUAAGUCAGUGGUGAAAUCUCAGAGCUUAACUUGGAAACUGCCAUUGAUACUAUUAGUCUUGAAUUUUGUUGAGGUAGGCGGAAUAAGUCAUGUAGCGGUGAAAUGCGUAGAUAUGUCACAGAACACCGAUUGCGAAGGCAGCUCACUAAAGUGUAACUGACGCUGAGGCACGAAAGCGUGGGGAGCAAACAGG
rnacentral:rRNA from 1 species